GUGAGGAAUAUUGGUCAAUGGGCGAAAGCCUGAACCAGCCAUGUCGCGUGAAGGAUGAAGGUCCUAUGGAUUGUAAACUUCUUUUGCAGGAGGGUAAAGUGAGCUACGUGUAGUUCAUUGCAAGUACCCUGCGAAUAAGCAUCGGCUAACUCCGUGCCAGCAGCCGCGGUAAUACGGAGGAUGCGAGCGUUAUCCGGAUUUAUUGGGUUUAAAGGGUGCGUAGGCGGACUAAUUAGUCAGCGGUGAAAUUUCGCGGCUCAACCGUAAAACUGCCGUUGAAACUGUUAGUCUUGAGUGCGGUAGAGGUAGGCGGAAUGUGUGGUGUAGCGGUGAAAUGCUUAGAUAUUACAUGGAAUACCAAUUGCGAAGGCAGGUUACUACUUGUGGAUUGACGCUGAUGGACGAAAGCGUGGGGAGCGAACAGGAUUAGAUACCCCGGUAGUCC
rnacentral:rRNA from 1 species